rnacentral:rRNA from 1 species
UGGGGAAUUUUGGACAAUGGGCGAAAGCCUGAUCCAGCAAUGCCGCGUGUGUGAAGAAGGCCUUCGGGUUGUAAAGCACUUUUGUCCGGAAAGAAAUCCUUGGCUCUAAUACAGUCGGGGGAUGACGGUACCGGAAGAAUAAGCACCGGCUAACUACGUGCCAGCAGCCGCGGUAAUACGUAGGGUGCAAGCGUUAAUCGGAAUUACUGGGCGUAAAGCGUGCGCAGGCGGUUUGCUAAGACCGAUGUGAAAUCCCCGGGCUCGACCUGGGAACUGCAUUGGUGACUGGCAGGCUAGAGUAUGGCAGAGGGGGGUAGAAUUCCACAUGUAGCAGUGAAAUGCGUAGAGAUGUGGAGGAAUACCGAUGGCGAAGGCAGCCCCCUGGGCCAAUACUGACGCUCAUGCACGAAAGCGUGGGGAGCAAACAGGAUUAGAUACCCCUGGUAGUCCACGCCCUAAACGAUGUCAACUAGUUGUUGGGGGAUUCAUUUCCUUAGUAACGUAGCUAACGCGUGAAGUUGACCGCCUGGGGAGUACGGUCGCAAGAUUAAAACUCAAAGGAAUUGACGGGGUCAUAGCUGUUUCCU